UACGGAAGGCAGCAGUGGGGAAUAUUGCACAAUGGGCGAAAGCCUGAUGCAGCUAUGCCGCGUGUAUGAAGAAGGCCUUAGGGUUGUAAAGUACUUUUCAUCGGGGAGGAAAAAAACAAAACUAAUAAUUUUAUUUCUUGACGUUACCCGAAAAAGAAGCACCGGCUAACUCCGUGCCAGCAACCGCGGUAAUACGGAGGGUGCUAGCGUUAAUCAGAAUUACUGGGCGUAAAGAGCACGUAGGUGGUUUUUUUAAGUCAGAUGUGAAAUCCCUGGGCUUUAACCUAGGAACUGCAUUUUGAAACUGAAAUACUAGAGUAUCGUAGAGGGAGGUAGAAUUCUAGGUGUAGCGGUGAAAUGCGUAGAUAUCUGGAGGAAUACCUGUGGCGAAAGCGGCCUCCUAAACGAAUACUGACACUGAGGGUGCGAAAGCGUGGGGAGCAAACAGGGAUUAGAUACC
rnacentral:rRNA from 1 species